CGGCCCCUACUCUGUUCCUGGGGAUUCACCCUUCCCACCAGAGCACCACCAGGAGGCCAAUGAGGCAAUAAUCAAUCAUGAAGAUUUUACUGAACCCCACUCCUCUUGCCAUUUUCCACCCUCUCACACCCUUCUUACCAGGAGAAGAAAUAAGUGUGGCAAACAGAGUUAAACUUAAGGACUCUGAAAGGUCAUGAAGAUGCCCUGAAGUUCUUCAAGUCACGUUUGAGCCCUUCGGGUCUUUCCAGCUGCAGGUCCUAAGUGGGUGAAGAGCAAUGACUGCUUUUUGGAGGCUGACGAGAAUACAUCUAAGAUGUAAUAAUGGAAGCUGUGUGAAGCUCUUAAUUUUCCCUCUUCCUCUGGAAACAGGCCGCAUCUCUUACCACAGUGAAUUGACGGGCUGGGAAUGAACAGCUCAAUUAACAACUCCAACUUCCACUGGGAGAUCAGUAACUUUUCAAAGAAUCUUUGUUCACUGUCUUCCCCCCUCCCCUCACCCCCCUCAGCCCUUUGGCUACACAGGCAAAAAUUAAAAUUCAUUUUUACCUUC